AGAGAGAGAGAGAGAGAGAGAGAGAGAGAGAGAGAUAGAUAGAGGAGGGUGCUCUGACCCGAGACGCAGCACGGCCCGAGAGAGAAACCUGACCAGAACUUCCACGUCCGGCCACCCCCCGACGGUGCAAGGCCACCAAUAGCUUCGUCUCGGCGUCGCCUACUUUCCUGCAUUCUCAGAUCGUCCAUGCAUCGACGAUGAACGGAGAAGCAACGACUGGAAGCUCCGAAACUUCUCCGGGAAUCUCUGCAACUUCCGGCGACUUCGGCCACCGUUUGGGCCGUCUGUGGCGAGGGCUGACCUUGAUUGAGGAUAAAGUCUGGGAAUUUCAGGUUGGUGGUUGUCAGUUUGUGCUUCAUCACCAAACGAGCUUCGUCAAGUUUCCGAAAAACGUUUAAGAUCAAAACAAGAAACUUGGAAUUUUGGACAUUGAGGCUUGGAUUGCCAGUUCAACAUCGAGUUCUUGGAAGGCUGCUACAAGGGAGUUAAGGUUAACCUUGCAGAUUGUAGUACUGAAGGUAAAUUCGAGUUUCUAGAUGGAAAUGUUUAUGUUUGGCUUGGUACGGUGAUGUUGAUGUCUCUGUGUGAAUCUGUCAUGUUGUCUUACUCUAGGUGUUUGGAGCUUGUGAAUGAGUUGUUGAUUCUGUGUUGGUAUUGCAAUUGUGGAUUAAGUUUUGUUGUGAUUAAUGAAAUGGCUGUGAAGAGUGAGAUUGGUCAAAUGUGAUCUUGGGUGUCCCACACCUUAAUUGAGAAUGGAAUAAGGUUGGUUGGGUGUCCAUAGUAAUUCCGAUUACUAUGUGACGAAAUUGCUAAGGAUACUCGAAUUUAUUUGUUCAUGAAGUUGGGAAUUUGUUAUAACAUUGGUUUGCAUAAGCAUUUUGUAAAAAUGAUAGUGAGUAAAGAAAAGAAAUGUGUAUAUAUUGGGUGGCCUUGAUAAAAUUUGGAUGCACCUAAUAUAUAUGGUCGAUAUAGUGAUUUAAGUAAAAUGUUCGGUAAUUUGGGUCAAUUAUCGAACCUAUUACGAUUGGUCAAACAAUUGUCAAAAUGGUCGAUCCUGGUCAAAUCAGGAAAGGUUGGUCAACUCCUGGUCAAACCAGGAAAAGUUGUCGAGAUUUCAUAA